ensembl:lncRNA
GGAGCAUCAGUUAUAAGAGAGGAGGGCUCUUCCCGGCGCCAGGCUCCAGGCCCCAGGCUCCGUCCUGAAGCUGGGGAAGUAAGUGCCAGUGGUUCUUUGCACGUUCCAGGAGCUGUGAAGGGUGCGUGCGAGCUUGGAAGCCACAGUAUGGUAAUUUUGUGAGCAGAUGGUGGAGGUUUUUUGAAAACAGGGCUGUAAAUGCCAUUGAGUUCUGAAAUGUCAUGGAGGGGCUGUUCUUGUUGAACAGUGGAAGAGCGUUGAGAGAAUCACUGACAGUUGAAGGCCGAGUUUCUGGAGUCUCAGAAGGGAACCUAGAAGUAUUAGUUAUUAAGUCAAGGGCCAUUUGUUUAAUAUUUUGACUCAGAGACUGUGUGUGCUAACUCUGCUGGUCCUGUGGAGGCAGCAGCAUCUGUUGAAGAAAACACUACCAUGGAAUGGUGUUGAGGUCUGUGCUGCUCCAAGGUUUUCCCUGAGGCCAUGAUUUAUGGAGAGAAAAAAAAAGUAGUUCCAGAAGCAUGUUUGGCAGAGUCAUUAACAGAGCAGGAAAGAGGAAUGGAAAUGGAGAGGAGUCUGAGGAAAAGAAGGUCAAGCAACAGGCCCAAAGUGAGAUCCAGCUCAAGGGGAGGCCCCAAGACCUGAAACCAUUACUGAAAUUAUGGAGCAUUCACAAAAAGGAUGUAUCAUGGCUGCUCUUCAAAAGACCCAAGAGGCAGCUGAAAGAGUCAGAUGCAGUUAUGUGCACCCAACCAGUGAACAGAAGCUGCUGACUCCUCUGGUUGAAUUGGAGAAAAGCUAGAGGAAGCGAAGGAGAUUCCAUCCUUUAACAUCAAGACAGGAGCAUGGCAGCAUCCAGGCAGACAUGGUGCAGGAGGAGCUGAGAGUUCUACAUCUUCAUAUGAAGGCUGCUAAUUGAAGGCUGAAUUCCAUGCAGCCUGUACCAACAGUGACACACCUACUCCAACAAGGCUAAACUAACUCCAAGAGUGCCAUACCUUCUAAGAAUGCUACAUCCUGGACUGAAUAUAUAGAUAAGAUCUAUGAAGCUAAGAAAUGCAUGCUGACAGGAAUCAGAUAAAGAUGUCUCCUGAGAGACACAGUUAGAGCAUGUGAAAUAGAGAGGUGAAUGCUAGCAGCAAACCACUAAACUGAGAACGGGACUCCUGUUGGAGGAAUUAGAGAAAGGAUUGAAAGAGCUGAAGGGGCUUACAACCCCGUAAGAGCAGCAUUCCAACCAACCAGAGCUUGCAGGGACGAAACCACGACCCAAAUACUACACAUGGAUGGACCCAUGGCUCCAACUCAUAGGGAGCAGUGGAUGGCCUUGUUGGGCAGCAAUGGAAGGAGAAGCCCUUUGUCAAUAUAAGUAAAAUUUUUAAGAGAUAAGUGACAUCAUGAACAGCAGAGGACAAGGGUAGAAAUGACAAUUUAUGGAGUCCGGUCUUCACAUGCUGUGAAAUUGUAAAGGAAAGGCAGCAGAGUAUUGUGAGAAAAACAGUCCAAGGAGAGUAAUGGACACAGAUGUGUAACCCUGUAGCUAUCUGCCCAGGGUUUCAACAGAGGUCAAUGUGUUGCAUUGUUGAGAUGGCAGCUCUGUCCCCCUUUGCACAAAAUCGGAUACCACUUAGGCUCAUGUCACUCCUUCCUCAGGACUUAGCCCUUCCAUUAGGUUAGUUGUCAGUGUCCACAGACUGCACUAAGCCAACCUUAUCAAUCAGGCCACUGUUCAGUAUUCAUUUUAAUCUCUCAGAGACUCCUCAGUCCACUCCUUUGUAGCUUCCCAUCACACAUGUGCCUUCUUGCCUUUAGCUGUUUGUAUGUAGUGCUUCCAGGUUUCUGGUUUGUGUUGUCUUAACUGUUCCCCUCCAGCAUAGAGCCCAGAGUCUGACAAACACUGACCUCUAACUCCCUCCUUCAGUUAAAUCUGUUCCCAAUAUAUACUACAUGCACUUAAUAUGUGAAGGGAAUGUACAUUGCCU